rnacentral:lncRNA from 1 species
UCGGAACUUGCUCUGACUUUAUCCCAGUGCAAAGCCUUAAGCUUCGGUUUAGGAGUUUCCUCUGCAGGCUCAUUGGCACUGAACGUCUCUUUUAGAGUCUCUUCUGGUGAAGUCUUUGGAAGGUUUUCGGAUGGGAUCACAAAAGGAUUCGAAGGCGGCGUGAGAGGAGGUGGUCGGGACGCCUUAGGAGUCGCUUGAUUCCGUCGUGCCCAUGUCGGAAACGGUGGAGGAGGUGGCGGAGGCGGCACUCGUGCAGACACCGGAGGCUGUAGAAUCUGAGAUGAAAUGUUGGAGAUUCGUGGAGAUACAUCUAAGCUAUGGCUAAAGUCUCUAUCCGGAGAAGACGAAAGAGACGACGACGAGGCAGACUGUGGAUCGUGAGAAGCUUUCUCCGGCGGCGACUUGUGAGAAGCUUUCUCCGAACGCAAUGCAUCCAACUCGUUAAGGAAGCCUUGUCCCGGGCGCCGCCUUUGAUGUAAUAAGCCUCUUUAAAUCCAUUCUCAACCAGCAAUUCAGCCACUUUCAUGGAGUUACCAUCAAAACUGCCUUCCACAUCAAAACAUGUAAGACAAACACAAAGCAAUAUCUUAAAAAAAGUAUGAAGCUUUUGGUCUAAAUCCUUACUUGUCAAGUACACAAACAACUGUGUUCUCCGGAUCAGAGAAUCCUCCUUUAACUCUCUUCACGAACCCCGACUCAUCUUCCUCACUAUACGGAACCUGAACCGAGCUCUUACCCAGAAACUUGAGACUCGGCGACGCCAACGAGGCCAACGUCUUGUCGUCUCUGAUAUCAAGAAGCUGCGAAUCAGGCUGGCUCUUGAGCUUAAGAAACGCGUUGAUGGCGGUUAUCGGUUUAUACUUCCUCAGGUAGAAGAUCGCCGCCGGGUAGACGACGAGGUAGAUGAAUGUGCAUCCCGCCACGAAAAACGGGUACUUGUUGAAAAAGUUGUCGAUCGUGAUCAGAAUCGACUCCAGAUCGAUUUUUCCGGUGGAUUGGUCGGAGAUUGAGGUGAAGGGUUGUGUUGAUGCGAGGACAGGGGAACAGAGGAUGGUGUGAGAAAGGGUGAGAGAGAGAUUGGUUUUGGACAGAAGGUGUAGCGAAUGAGAUAUGUUGUUGAGUGGAGCUGUGCGACUUUGGUCGGAAUUUGGAGUUUGAGGAGUGGAGGGUUUGGAUAGGUUUCGCGGAGGAGAAGAUGCGAGAAUUGUCGGAAGAGACGACAUCAUAACUAAAUGGCGACGAGAGACGAUGAGUGGAAGCGCCAAGAGGAUAAGAAACAAAAUAAAGGGCUCAUUCUUGUAAAAUUGGAUAAACACUAAAAGAUGAUGUCAAAACUGUAAAUAACUACUUUUGUCAAUUAUUAAUUUACAUAAAAAAAAAAAAAAUUGAGAACUAUUAAUUUUAGAUACAAUUGCCAAAACAAUUUCCCAAUUUAUCAACAAAUUUUCCCAGCUUUUUGUCUAUACUAUUUUUAGGGCAAUUCUCUUAAAUAACAAUUUUUAAGUUUUUGUCACAAAAAUAGUCUUCAAAAAGAAAAUGACAAAAAUAGCUCCAUUUUAUUUUGAAAUUUUUAAUAUUUAUUUUUAUUUUUUUUAAAUUUGAAAUCUUAUCAUCAAAACCCCCUAAUUCUAGAUUAGUUAACCCUAGAGUCAAAAUACAUUUUUACUUUUCGAUAAAACUUAUUUUGUUUAUUUUCUUCAUUGAACGUUAUUUUGCGACAAAAACUUAGAAAGAUAUAUCUUAGAAAAUUUCUCCUAUUUUUAUCACGUUAAUUAAUGAUUUUGUCUUUUCUCUAAGUAUUUUGGUUUCAGUUAAAUAAAAAUAACAUUACAUAUGAAAGAAAUUUUAAUAGAUUAUUUAUUUUUGCUUAAGUCUUAAGAAGAGAAAAAAAAACUCUGUAUUGUCAAACACUACUGUUUUGAUUUUCCAUCUAACGACAGUGAAUUCUGAUUUAUUCAUAAAAUUUAAGAUGAACAAAUUUAAAAUGUAAACCUAUAAUAUUUUACACAAAUUUAGAAAAAAAUAAAUACUUGCGUCUCUGUUUCCCUCCUCUCUCUAUAUAUUAUGGCAAAACAAACUGGAUACAUUUUACACAACACAAAGCUGAUCCCAUCUUAAUAAACUAAUGAGAUGAGUUAUGUUCAUCGUCUGAAGAUGAAGAAGAAGAAGACUGCUUUCGUCCGAAUAGUCCAGGCAGAGGCUGUGGCAGCAUUGGGUUCACAGGAACUGGAAACUUGUGAGCAGAACUAACCAUUGUUCUUUCGUUUAUCAUCCCUACUUCUUUGCAGACUCUGUCCACUACUCCGAGGAAGUCUCGAACCACCAAGAAUAUCCUAAACGGAUGUGCUUCUUCUUUAGCCGAGUUCCCAUGGAAAUACUCUGUGAUCUCUUUCACGAGAGACAACGCUACGCUCUCUUGAGCUUGUACUCUGAUGAUGUCUUCUUCAGCUCUUUUCAGAAACGUGUUCAUCGAUUCCAAAAACCUCUCGCUACUGCUGCUGCCGCUUUCUUCUCUGACCGUUGAUUGGAUUUGGACUGCUUCGUUGAUCUUGGCAAUGCCUUGGGAAAGCUUGGAGACGUAGCUGCUGAGUACUUCCGAGUCCAUUGCCGCAGCUUUCUUGACGUUGCCAAGCUCUGAAGAUAGACUUGAUACAACUUGGAGGCCGAGUUUCCUGCAUUUGAUGUCAUCCGUUUGUGUAUUGUUGUCACCUGAGAGACGUGUGCCUUCUGCUCGGAUGAUCUCUUGAACAACGAAAUGCAAGAGAGUUGUUUUCCCAUCAGCGCCUUUGACAUCGACCAGCUUGAGGAGCGUGUCGAGCUUGAACGCAUGUGCGUCGCCUCGGUUCGUCCCAACGUUCAUGCGGUUUCCUGUCUUUAGAACCGCUUCUAGAAGCUUUAAGAACAUUCUGCUGUUCCUCAGUUCCUCACAAGCAGCCUACCCCAUAAAAGGUUUGAUUCGUUACAAACACAAAUGGUAGCAAGAGAGAGAGAAGAUAGCUUUGCUUUAUACAUUACCUCAAGAGUCUGGAAAGAGUUCUUCAGGUAUUCAACCUCGGAGUCAAAGUUAGCUACAUAGAGCAUUGCGUCAACUCUUUUAAAGGCAAAAGGGAUGUCUAGCAUUGCCUUGAGGAACUUCUCAGCAUGUCCAAGCUUUACAGGCGAAUCAUCCUUGUACUCUUUUAACCUGCGCUCUUCCUCUUUCGUUGGGGCCAUCUUGAGUAAGCUCUCUAGAAGUUCAGUCCCAAGUGUUUCGGCAUUGCCUGAAAAGCAUAACAUAACAACAAUCAUUCAGGACAUCAACUUCUUAGAUCAUAGCUAAACAAACGCAGAUGAAAUGUGAAACUAAGUAUGUGACAGCAUAGGUUACCUUCAAGAAGCGCUUCACAGACUUCUUCAAUAGUGACAUUAAGUGCACGAAGCAGGAUUGCAAUAUUCUGAGCCUUCUUAGGGUCCAAGACUCUGUUCUCUUGAUUCGGGCUUGGGAGAGCGCAUCUUGGAGUAGUCUGGCUCUGAUUUGGUUUGGAGUCUAACGACUUUGCCACAAACAACGUUUCAAUCAUCUCUUCAUCUAAUCUGCAAUCACACCAAUAAAAUUUCAACAACCAUAUUGUGACAAAGAAACUAUGAGAUUAACUCACUUGAAAGAGCUUGAACGAAGCUGAUCCCAGACCAUCUCACGGUCGGAACUUGCUCUGACUUUAUCCCAGUGCAAAGCCUUAAGCUUCGGUUUAGGAGUUUCCUCUGCAGGCUCAUUGGCACUGAACGUCUCUUUUAGAGUCUCUUCUGGUGAAGUCUUUGGAAGGUUUUCGGAUGGGAUCACAAAAGGAUUCGAAGGCGGCGUGAGAGGAGGUGGUCGGGACGCCUUAGGAGUCGCUUGAUUCCGUCGUGCCCAUGUCGGAAACGGUGGAGGAGGUGGCGGAGGCGGCACUCGUGCAGACACCGGAGGCUGUAGAAUCUGAGAUGAAAUGUUGGAGAUUCGUGGAGAUACAUCUAAGCUAUGGCUAAAGUCUCUAUCCGGAGAAGACGAAAGAGACGACGACGAGGCAGACUGUGGAUCGUGAGAAGCUUUCUCCGGCGGCGACUUGUGAGAAGCUUUCUCCGAACGCAAUGCAUCCAACUCGUUAAGGAAGCCUUGUCCCGGAGAAGAGAGUAGCUGAGACUGCAAUCCUU